UGCAUCCAGUGUGUUUCUUCAGUUUUUCUGUCUUGUGUCUCCCUUGCAUCUACUUUUUUGUGGUUUUAUACAUUUGUUUGUUUUUUGGAUAUACUCACCUGUUGUGUUUCAGAUUUUCGUGCUUUAUGUUUUGGGACUCUCCACGUCACCAGCAUUACACUUGCUCAGCACAGUGAGUGAAGGAGAGUCUGACGGUGGGGGCUGGGCGACGUGUCCUGGGUUGAUUCUGCAUCUGACGGGUCUGACAGCGAUCCAUUUGAAUGAGCUAUGCGUUACUCUCUGGAUGCCCGAUGGAGUGCAAGAAAUCAAGCAGAACAUGACAGUCUGGCCCGAGUGGAAACAUUUAAGAAGAUGAAAUAAGGCAAAUGCAAAUGAACUGUGUGCAGUAAUUUCACCAAAAGAUCUGAAUGGGACCGACAGGCUUGUUUGUGUGUGUUGUAUGUUGUGUUACCACACAUUCAGCUUGUCCAGUUUAGUUUGACCAUUCAUGUAGAUUAAUAAACAUUAGAGUUAUUUCAA